rnacentral:misc_RNA from 1 species
CGUUUCUUCUUUAGAUCUCUUUUGUGUCCCUUAAUUCGAUUUUUUCAUGCCAUCAAAUCUAUCAAUGGCUUCUAUUGUUUCUGCUAAUUUCUUACUCCAGCUACUGCUGUUUGUCUCUCUAUUCCAUCUCAACUUGGCAGCGAGACUGCUUACUCAAUCCACUGAAACCCAGCAAACCCUUCAGUUCCAGUACCACAAUGGGCCUCUUCUUACUGGCAAAAUUUCUAUGAAUUUGAUAUGGUAUGGCAAGUUUAAACCUUCUCAACGCGCAAUUGUCUCUGAUUUCAUUGCCUCCCUUUCAUCUCCUAAGCCGGCAAUAGCCCAACCCUCUGUCGCCACUUGGUGGAAAGCCACCGAGAAAUACUACCAUCUCAUCAAAUCUCAGAAAGCUUCUUCUCUUGCCCUCUCUUUGGGUACCCAGAUCUUAGAUGAGAGCUGUUCAUUGGGCAAAUCGCUCUCCAAUAAACAAAUUGUUCAAUUAGCAUCGAAGGGUGGCCAAAAAGAUGCUAUUAAUGUGGUUUUAACUUCAGGUGAUGUAUCAGUUGAGGGGUUCUGCUCUUCUAGGUGUGGCACUCAUGGCUCUUCAAUGGCUGCUGAAAAGAUCAAUGGCAAGAACUCCAAGUUUGCUUAUAUCUGGGUUGGUAACUCAGAGACUCAAUGCCCAGGUCAAUGUGCUUG